UUGAACGCUGGCGGCAUGCUUUACACAUGCAAGUCGCACGGCAGCGCGGGCUUCGGCCUGGCGGCGAGUGGCGAACGGGUGAGUAAUGCAUCGGAACGUGCCCAGUAGUGGGGGAUAGCCCGGCGAAAGCCGGAUUAAUACCGCAUACGACCUGAGGGUGAAAGCGGGGGACCGAAAGGCCUCGCGCUAUUGGAGCGGCCGAUGUCGGAUUAGCUAGUUGGUGGGGUAAAGGCUUACCAAGGCGACGAUCCGUAGCUGGUCUGAGAGGACGACCAGCCACACUGGGACUGAGACACGGCCCAGACUCCUACGGGAGGCAGCAGUGGGGAAUUUUGGACAAUGGGGGCAACCCUGAUCCAGCCAUGCCGCGUGCGGGAAGAAGGCCUUCGGGUUGUAAACCGCUUUUGUUCGGGAAGAAAUCCUCUGGGCUAAUACCCCGGGGGGAUGACGGUCCCGGAAGAAUAAGCACCGGCUAACUACGUG
rnacentral:rRNA from 1 species